rnacentral:lncRNA from 1 species
GCAGUCUGCUGUGGCGCAAUCUGAGCUCUCUAAUAGUUGCUCUAUUAAAAAACUUGGAUGAUUUCUCCAGCCUGGGUAGUAGGUGUUAGGAUUCUGAUUGGGUUGCUGUCUUUGCAAAUUUUGAGGAUAAUUUACAUCUUCUAGUGAUUGUGCAAAAGGACUACACACGAUGCAAUCAGCACUUUCAUGAUUUCCUCCACAAUGCUUUCAUUUUUGUCCGACUGCUUGAAUGACAUUCAUCUGAUCCACCUUUUUAGUUAAAACUGCCAGCUGUGCUGAGAUUGUUGUUAAUAGAUCCAAUUCAUGUAUCUUAGCUACUUUCUUUAUACUUGUUCUUUCCGUAUGCCAUAGUGCACUAGUGAAUGCUAAAUCCUUCAUGAUUUGAUAUACUUGAUCUGCUGUUCUCUUUAUGAUGGAACCAUCACAUGUGGAGUCAAACAUUAGCCCUGCUUGUCGGAUUUAGCCCGAUGUAGAAAUAUUGUGCCUGGAGCUAUUUUUGCAAUCCAUGCUGUGAACACUGACGAUGCAGCCCCUUAUACCUUUCCCAAGCUUCAUAAUAGCACUUUGAGUCAAGUUGAUAGAAUGUGGUGAUUUCGUCCAUCAACCUGGCAAUCCUUUUAGGUGGAAAAUAUUUGUUCAGGAACUUCUGACUCAAACUAUCUCAACUGGUGAUGCUGUGUGGAGGAAAAGUAUCCAUCCAUUCCCUAGCUGAAUCUCUCAAAGUGUAAGGAAAAAGCCUUAGCCGAAUUGCUUCGCUUGAAACACCUGAAUAAUCGAUUGUUGCACACAUGUCUAAGAAUCUUGAGAUAUGAGCAUUGGGAUUUUCAAUAGGUUUUCCAAAAAAUUGCAGUGUAUUUUAGAACAUGUUGAUCACAUCUAUCCUCAAGUGAAAAUUUGGUUGACCAAAUGUCGGAUAUACUAUACUGGAUUGGCUCUCCACGACUGGUGGAACCAUAUACUCUCCCAUCAAUCUAUCGUUUUCGUUGGCUGCAACUUUAUUCGGUUGCUCUACACCCGG